GGGUUGGGGUAGGGUUAGUGGUUGGGGUAGGGUUAGGGUAGGGUUAGUGGUUGGGGUCGAGGUAGGGUUAAGGGAUGGGGUAGGGUUAGGGUAACCAUAACCCUAUCCCUAACCCUACCCCUAAUCCUAAACCAACCCUAACGUAACCCUACCCCUAUCUCUAACCUAUCACUACCCCUGACCUUACCUCUACCCCUACCCUAACCCUACCUCUAACCCUACCCCUAACCUUACCCCUAACCC